CUGGUAGUAGCUAUUUUCCUGUCUAAGCAGGGGUGCUUGGCUGCUGUGGCUAUGCAAAUCCUGCCAGCUCUGCCUCCCCACGGAGCUUCAGGCCAUGCAUGGCACCCUAUGCCUUGUCUGGAUGCCCACGGCAUGCAGUUUCUUCCGUGAAUUCAGCUUGCUUUUGGAACAAGCUUCCGGUUCGACUGUGGAAGGCCACGCCCCUUCUUCUGGAUGGAAGGGCCACGCAAGGCGCCUGUGUGAACCGCACAGGGCGGGCACUGUGACUCCAGACGGAUCUGUCUACCUGCUCCACCUUCUCAGCUGUCCCAGCAGCACAGGGAGACAACCAAUCAGUGUCAUCCUUGUGUGAAAUUCAGCCAAUGGAGGAACAGGCUCCGUCAGUCCCCUGCCUCAGUGGUUGGUGGGUCAGAAUUCCCGCUGUGUGGCUCCCUCCUGGAGACAGCCUGAACCCCAGUGUCCUGCUUGCUUGAGUGAGCAGUGAGUCCAGUUUUGCUUUUGAUUUCUGAGUUGAGAGAUGGUCUCCUUGUGCUUGAUAAAGCCAUCGUUCAAUGUAUACAUUGUGGCUAUGCUAAUUAAGACUUUCACACCCAAGCCCUAUCCUUCAUAACUUUUUUCUAUUUCCCGUAGUUACUGCUUGCUUUGUGACUUUCAUCUACUUAAUUUUCUGUCUUUGGCUGUGGUUCAUUUUACCCAAACUGCCUAAUUAUUCUGCAUUACCUGUGCUUAUUUUCAUGUAGACUGAGGGCACAAUCACUCCAAGGUAUGGUGAAGGAGGCAGAUGGGUUUUAUUGAAGGUAUGAGGCAGAGGGCAGCCAGAGGCAUCUGGAAGAGUCCAGAGCAGAAAGGGAACGGGAACGAAGUAGACUGAACACAGCCACCUAACAGUAUGGUAUGAAAGGAGAGAGAGAGAGAUGGGGGAAGAGUGGGAAGGAAGAAAGGGAGAGGACCAAGGGCGGGAGACAAGGCAGGAAAAGCAAGGCUGUGUGGAGAAAUGCUUAGCCUAGGGGAAGCCCAUGAGCAUUAGGGUAAGGGGCAGUGCGAAAGCCAGGAUGCCAGCUGUGAUGUCACUCUGAACUGUGUGACAGGCACUUGGAACCCUGGGGGCCAGCAUGAGUUUGGGUGUGUUAGCAGGCACCACAGAUAGGCAUUUAUAGUCAUCUAUAAGGGAACUGGCUCCUUUGGUAGUUCCUGAGGAAGGCUGGCUUUUAUCUAACUGCCAGAAUUUGGGGGAAGUUGCCAGUGGUUUCCUUUGGACCUGACACUCUUUGUAUUUGUUCCAAAAUUAUCCCCAAACUCCAAUCCACCCCAGGACCCCUUUCCCUGUGGGUAUCGAAUUUCUUUCACUUCAUUCCAGUAAAAUGGAAUGAAGCCUAAUCCAUUAGUUGCAUUUUCUACAGACUCUCCCGGGAUGCCCCUGAUGAUUCCAGCUGCUCAGCCAGGGGAGGGCUCCCCACACUGUUCUCCUGGGAUGUCUCUUUAGCUCUCUGUCCCAUUGUACUCCUGUUUCCUGCAGCCUGGGCAGUGUGCACAUCUGGAAAUGUCUUACUUUCACACCCUUGAUUGCUAGCCCAAGUUAUAGGCUCAGUUACGUCUACAGCGAAUUCGUAUGUUGAAGUCCUAACUCCACUAUCUCAUCGUCUGACUGUAUUUGGAGACAUAGCCUUACAAGAAGCAAUUAAGGAGCUUCCACAUAUUCCCUCCAUGAGUACAGAGAAGCUUGCCAAUGUUGACAUCUGAGGCUGAGAUCAUAGGCUCCACUUUAGCUGGGAGUCAGCCCACUCCCAGCCUGCUAGGUCUGUGCGAGCAUUUUACAGACAGGGAAGCCAACCUCAGACAGCAGCUGCUGCUGCGGAAAAGUCCACCCACUACAGAUCGAUGCCGGUGACCAUUGAUGGUGACCUCCACUAUCAGCCCUGUGGCCUGCAACUCCAUUCUAAGCACUCAUUUUCUGAGGACCCAUCAUGCUGGGUCCCCACCAGGUCACAUAGCAUGACAGAGAGUGAAGAGGGUCACCCUGGUGGAGAAGCCCCCAGCCGUCUGCAGAGGAGGCAUCAGGCCCCUUCCAAUUCCAGCAGCUCAAGACCUCGAAGAAGACUGUUCCCAGGGGAAGAAAGAGACGCUGUGCUUUCUGCCUUGACAUGGGUUUAGCAUGGGGUUAGCCUUCACUUAUUAAAGCAACUAACACUCCCAAACCCCCAGACAAAACCUGUGCUCAUUUUAGCCUGAAAAUAAUUCACAGUUCUUCUGUGUGGGUUAAUUCUACAUUGUUUGAAUGGUCCACUGCCUUUGAAAGCCAUAGCACCAGGGAGGAGGGGAUCUAG